GAUUUGAUAACCCUUUACCAGACACGCUCACAGGCAAGAUGGAGAAGGCUGGUGAGAAAAAGCGUUCACUUGUCCUUCCCUCUAGGAGCUUCCACAAGGCUGGAUAUCUGGUGGAUACUCACCCAAAAGACCAGCAGCAAUGGAUUACGAGGCAAAGAGCAUCGCAGCGAGUACAAUGAUGGAGAGCAUGAGAGGGGCGAGGUCAGUGACAAGUUACUAUGACAGCAUAUGAUGGAAGAGUUACAAGGUGACGCUGUGGAGUUUGCGUACAACCCAUUGGACGUCUUACACUGCAGAUAGAGGAACACAAUUAAGAAAUAGACUGAACACCAGCCCCCGGCAUGUAUCAUGAGGGACGCUGUACAGAGAUGUUAGGGCAAGUUCCUUUAAUUAGAUCCAGAUAUUGUAAUUAUUUCAUUCUUCCAGGUUGUUGGUGGCUAAACGUGCUUAUAGUUACCAUGGAGAUGGAGAUGGUAAUUGACU